GGCACUAUGGCCGAGUGGUUAAGGCGAGAGACUCGAAAUCUCUUGGGCUCUGCCCGCGUUGGUUCAAAUCCGACUGGUGUCG
rnacentral:tRNA from 1 species